rnacentral:RNase_P_RNA from 1 species
GGAGGGAAGCUCAUGGGUGGGGCCGUGAGCUGAGUGGGUUUAGUCACUCUACCCCAUGGCUCAUGGGAAGGUGUGAGACUAGGGCCAAAAUCGGCCCCAACAGGGCCCUCCUUGAGCUUAAGGGAGGUGAGUUCCCAGAGGGGAGGGGGGGGAAGAUCAGAGUUUGCUAAACAGGGCUCCUCUCAAGGAACCCAGCUCACUGAGUCUACAGGCAUCAGCUGGCCACUGUUGCUUUGCUCUACAGGAGUCAGGGCUUCGGGAACCAGCACAAAUGUUGUUACUCU